CUUGAAACACCGCUUCCCGUUCGAUCACCGAAAUUAAGCAACGUCGACGUUGGUCAGUACCUAGAUAAGUGACCGCUUGGAAAUACCAGAUGCUGUAAG